rnacentral:rRNA from 1 species
UGGGGAAUUGUUCGCAAUGGGCGCAAGCCUGACGACGCAACGCCGCGUGGAGGAUGAAGAUUUUCGGAUCGUAAACUCCUUUCGAUCGAGACGAAUGGCCUCCGGGCUAAUACCCCGGAGGAAUGACGGUACCGAGAGAAGAAGCCCCGGCUAACUCCGUGCCAGCAGCCGCGGUAAUACGGGGGGGGCAAGCGUUGUUCGGAAUUACUGGGCGUAAAGGGCUCGUAGGCGGCCAACUAAGUCAGACGUGAAAUCCCUCGGCUUAACCGGGGAACUGCGUCUGAUACUGGAUGGCUUGAGUUUGGGAGAGGGAUGCGGAAUUCCAGGUGUAGCGGUGAAAUGCGUAGAUAUCUGGAGGAACACCGGUGGCGAAGGCGGCAUCCUGGACCAACACUGACGCUGAGGAGCGAAAGCCAGGGGAGCAAACGGGAUUAGAUACCCGCGUAGUCC